AUGAUACGGCGUCCACCAGCAGUUGUUUGCUACAUUUGUGGUCGUGAAUAUGGAACAAAAUCUAUUAGCAUUCAUGAGCCACAAUGUCUGAAAAAAUGGCAUAAUGAAAACAACUUGUUGCCUAAAGAGUUAAGGAGACCAGUACCUAAAAAACCAGAAGUCAGGACCAUUACUGGUAAGGCCAAAGGCUUCUAUGAUCUUGAUGCUUUAAAUGAAGCUGCUUGGACAAGUGCCCACAGCCAGUUGGUUCCCUGUAAUGUUUGUGGGCGUACCUUCCUGCCAGACAGACUGAUUGUUCACCAACGAUCUUGUAAACCCAAAGCCGCCAAG
rnacentral:lncRNA from 1 species